rnacentral:rRNA from 1 species
UACGUAGGGUGCGAGCGUUGCCCGGAUUUAUUGGGCGUAAAGGGCGCGUAGGCGGUCACGCACGUCCGUUGUGAAAUCCCUCGGCUCAACCGGGGAACUGCGUCUGAUACUGGGUGGCUUGAAUCCGGGAGAGGGAUGCGGAAUUCCAGGUGUAGCGGUGAAAUGCGUAGAUAUCUGGAGGAACACCGGUGGCGAAGGCGGCAUCCUGGACCGGCAUUGACGCUGAGGCGCGAAAGCGUGGGGAGCAAACAGG